GUCAGAGUCACAUUAACAGCUUUUUGGGUC
rnacentral:piRNA from 1 species